UUUAAAGGGGCAAUGUCACCGAUUUUUGACCUAAAAUACCGUUUAUUCAAAAACUGAACUACAAAGUUAAAAAUAAACAUUGUAAAUGGAUUAAGUUAUGAUAUAUGAGUCAUAUUAAACAACUUAUUUAUUUAUUUAUUUAUUUAGCUUUGCCAACUAGGGCAGGGUCACCACAACAGCAUAUGCCAAUUACUGUGGGCUACUGUGUGUUUUUUUUUUUACCUAACCCACCCUGUCAACUUUCCCUGUGGGAGGAAACCGGAGUACCCGGGGAAAACCCACGGCGUUCGGCAGAGCGUUGACUUUUACUCUUUUCACAUGGGGACUGGGUUCGAGUCGCACUGAGAAGGUACUUAGUGAGACUCGAACCCGCAGCCUCAGAGGUGAAAGGCAAGUGCGCUAACCACUUGGCCACCGUAGCCCCUAGUUUGAACUUCCACGAAACAUGUAAUAUGACAAUUUCAUAAAAAUUGAC